CACAAGCGGUGGAGCAUGUGGUUUAAUUCGAUGCAACGCGAAGAACCUUACCUGGGCUUGACAUCCCGGGAAUCCCUUGGAACAAGGGAGUGCCCUUCGGGGAACCUGGAGACAGGUGCUGCAUGGCUGUCGUCAGCUCGUGUCGUGAGAUGUAGGGUUAAGUCCCGCAACGAGCGCAACCCUUAUCAUUAGUUGCUACGCAAGGGCACUCUAAUGAGACUGCCGGUGACAAACCGGAGGAAGUGGGGAUGACGUCAAGUCCUCAUGGCCCUUAUGGGUAGGGCUUCACACGUCAUACAAUGGUCGGUACAGAGGGUUGCCAAGCCGCGAGGCGGAGCCAAUCCCACAAAGCCGAUCGUAGUCCGGAUUGUUCUCUGCAACUCGAGAGCAUGAAGUCGGAAUCGCUAGUAAUCGCAGGUCAGCAUACUGCGGUGAAUACGUUCCCGGGUCUU
rnacentral:rRNA from 1 species